rnacentral:lncRNA from 1 species
AGUAUCAUAAAAAAAGCUUGAGGAUAGAUGAAUAGUGUUGAAGCUUUGUAGGCCUAGCUACUUAGCUAUAUAUUUCAGUUUCUUCCUGAAAAUGGUUCCGUAGUCAUUAUCUUCCAUACCUAUUUCUGUUUGGUUACAGCUAUUUUUUAGAGACUUCUAAAUAAGCCUUUAUUGGUAACUUAGGGAAAAGGCAAGUGAAAGAACUUAAGCUUUGUCCCUUUUUCCAGAGGAAUUUAUGAUUAUGUUGAUGUUCUCUGACUGAGCCAGCUGUAAAGAGUACUGUGUUUCAAAGCAGCAGGCCUAAAAAUAAUAAUAAAAAUUCUGUCACUUCUUGCUUUGUUUUUUUUGGUAGGGAUUAAUGUUUCGGGAGAAGUCUGUGUGAAUCAGUGACCUUCAAAUAAUUUUGUAUUCUUGAGGCAAUUAUUAUGUGACAAAUAAUAAAAAGGUAAACUGAAAUAGAAAGGAGAGGAUGAGGUUUAUACAUUAGCUGAGGCAGGAGAAUGGCAUGAACCUGGGAAGUGGAGCUUGCAGUGAGCUGAGAUCAGGCCACUGCACUCCAGCCUGGGUGACAGAGCAAGACUCUGUCUC